GUUGUUUCAGUGCAACAGUUCCCCUUUCGAGUUUUUCUCUUUUUUGUCAGAUGCAAACUGACAUAUGAAACUGUACUUGGGCUAGAAGCAUCAACACACAGCAGUCGAACAUACAUGAGAGAGGACUGAAAGCUAGAGAGGCAAUUAAGCGCAGUCAGAAUUGUUCCUAAUUAUUGGAUACCUGCUAUUUGAAGAAGACGGCCAACACGGCAAAUAUGGUAAUUGACAGAGUCUCCGAAGACUUUGCAGGCGUUGGAAAUCCGAGCGUUGGGAUGAUGACGAGCCCAAUCAGUUUGUCAGCUUUCUAUGGAAACUCACUUCUGGGGAUGCACGAACCCGCAAACCACACUGAGGACUGGCUCCCCCGGCCGCCGCAAUCGGAUUCUGAGUCGGGCAAACCCUGGAGCACUGCAAUCCCAACCCCUAGCUAUCUCAACCACAUUAACGCUGAAACCACUAUGGGGAGUGUGAGUCCCCCAUCGUAUCAGGGUGUGUGUGUAAAGAACCCAGCGAGCGAGAUGAUCAUGCAGAAGCAUAGUGGUUAUGCAUCUUGGAGCCCUGGCUGCCACAACCAACAGCUAUUGCAGCACUACAAUAUACAUGAUCACCACACAG